rnacentral:rRNA from 1 species
AAACGCGAAGCCGUAGCGAAAGCGAGUCUGAAUAGGGCGCUUAGUCAGAUGCUGCAGACCCGAAACGAAGUGAUCUAUCCAUGAGCAAGUUGAAGCUAGUGUAAGAACUAGUGGAGGACUGAACCCAUAGGCGUUGAAAAGCCCCGGGAUGACUUGUGGAUAGGGGUGAAAGGCCAAUCAAACUUCGUGAUAGCUGGUUCUCUCCGAAAUAUAUUUAGGUAUAGCGUUGUGUCGUAAUAUAAGGGGGUAGAGCACUGAAUGGGCUAGGGCAUACACCAAUGUACCAAACCCUAUCAAACUCCGAAUACCUUAUAUGUAAUCACAGCAGUCAGGCGGCGAGUGAUAAAAUCCGUCGUCAAGAGGGAAACAACCCAGACUACCAGCUAAGGUCCCUAAAUCUUACUUAAGUGGAAAACGAUGUGAAGUUACUUAAACAACCAGGAGGUUGGCUUAGAAGCAGCCAUCCUUUAAAGAAAGCGUAAUAGCUCACUGGUCUAGUGAUUUUGCGCGGAAAAUAUAACGGGGCUAAAGUAAGUACCGAAGCUGUAGACUUGCGCACAACUUAGAUUAUUUAAGUUUAGAAUAUGAGAAACUAAGUUAUGUUUAGUUAUAUUUUUACUGAUUUUUAUAGAGUAAAGAUAGAAAUAAAACUUAGUAAAAUCAGUAAAAAUAUUCUUAGACUAAAGUUAAGUAGUUUAAGUUGUGUGCAAGUGGUAGGAGAGCGUUCUAUUUGCGUCGAAGGUAUACCGGUAAGGAGUGCUGGAGCGAAUAGAAGUGAGCAUGCAGGCAUGAGUAGCGAUAAUUAAUGUGAGAAUCAUUAACGCCGUAAACCCAAGGUUUCCUACGCGAUGCUCGUCAUCGUAGGGUUAGUCGGGUCCUAAGUCGAGUCCGAAAGGGGUAGACGAUGGCAAAUUGGUUAAUAUUCCAAUACCAACAUUAGUGUGCGAUGGAAGGACGCUUAGGGCUAAGGGGGCUAGCGGAUGGAAGUGCUAGUCUAAGGUCGUAGGAGGUUAUACAGGCAAAUCCGUAUAACAAUACUCCGAGAACUGAAAGGCUUUUUGAAGUCUUCGGAUGGAUAGAAGAACCCCUGAUGCCGUCGAGCCAAGAAAAGUUUCUAAGUUUAGCUAAUGUUGCCCGUACCGUAAACCGACACAGGUGGGUGGGAUGAGUAUUCUAAGGCGCGUGGAAGAACUCUCUUUAAGGAACUCUGCAAAAUAGCACCGUAUCUUCGGUAUAAGGUGUGGUUAGCUUCGUACUAGGAUUUACUCCGAAAGCGAAGAAACUUACAACAAAGAGUCCCUCCCGACUGUUUACCAAAAACACAGCACUCUGCUAACUCGUAAGAGGAUGUAUAGGGUGUGACGCCUGCCCGGUGCUCGAAGGUUAAUUGAUGGGGUUAGCAUUAGCGAAGCUCUUGAUCGAAGCCCGAGUAAACGGCGGCCGUAACUAUAACGGUCCUAAGGUAGCGAAAUUCCUUGUCGGUUAAAUACCGACCUGCAUGAAUGGCGUAACGAGAUGGGAGCUGUCUCAAAGAGGGAUCCAGUGAAAUUGUAGUGGAGGUGAAAAUUCCUCCUACCCGCGGCAAGACGGAAAGACCCCGUGGACCUUUACUACAGCUUGACACUGCUACUUGGAUAAGAAUGUGCAGGAUAGGUGGGAGGCUUUGAGUAUAUGACGCCAGUUGUAUAUGAGCCAUUGUUGAGAUACCACUCUUUCUUAUUUGGGUAGCUAACCAGCUUGAGUUAUCCUCAAGUGGGACAAUGUCUGGUGGGUAGUUUGACUGGGGCGGUCGCCUCCCAAAUAAUAACGGAGGCUUACAAAGGUUGGCUCAGAACGGUUGGAAAUCGUUCGUAGAGUAUAAAGGUAUAAGCCAGCUUAACUGCAAGACAUACAAGUCAAGCAGAGACGAAAGUCGGUCUUAGUGAUCCGGUGGUUCUGUGUGGAAGGGCCAUCGCUCAAAGGAUAAAAGGUACCCCGGGGAUAACAGGCUGAUCUCCCCCAAGAGCUCACAUCGACGGGGAGGUUUGGCACCUCGAUGUCGGCUCAUCGCAUCCUGGGGCUGGAGCAGGUCCCAAGGGUAUGGCUGUUCGCCAUUUAAAGCGGUACGCGAGCUGGGUUCAGAACGUCGUGAGACAGUUCGGUCCCUAUCUGCCGUGGGCGUAAGAAGAUUGAAGAGAUUUGACCCUAGUACGAGAGGACCGGGUUGAACAAACCACUGGUGUAGCUGUUGUUCUGCCAAGAGCAUCGCAGCGUAGCUAAGUUUGGAAAGGAUAAACGCUGAAAGCAUCUAAGCGUGAAGCCAACUCUAAGAUGAAUCUUCUCUAAGCUCUCUAGAAGACUACUAGUUUGAUAGGCUGGGUGUGUAAUGGAUGAAAGUCCUUUAGCUGACCAGUACUAAUAGAGCGUUUGGCUUAUCUUU